UCCUAGUUCUCCCUCUCGAGAACUUCCAAACCGAUGCCAGUUCGUCUCUGACAAGCAUCUCUGUCGUGCGCCACCACACAAGUCAUCUUCUUCUGCAAGCUUCUAAACAGAGGGGGGAAACUUCUCUUUUUCCAUAAGUUCUAGAAAUCCUCUUUUCAUUUCUGAACCCUGAUUCCACAUGCAAGAAGGGGAAGCCUCUCUUCUCUUGCAUGUGAUACUUAGCUUUAAUUUUCCUAAAACCUAGUUAUGCAUAGUAAUGUUUUGGACUAAUUAGAAUCUUCGUAAAAGCUCACUACAAAAAAACUGUCAUUUAGUGGGGGUUUUUUAGCGGGGGUUUUUGUAACCCCCGCAAAUGUCUUUAAUUUUUACUCGUUAACGGGGUUUUACUAAACCCCCUAAUUAACUCGCGGAAUUUUUCUAAUUUCAGAUCCCUUUUCCUGGUAAAUUCUCUCACGACUCACACCUCUCAUCUCUCUGCAACUCACCACUCUCACAUCUCUCUAUCUCUCCAUGGAACCCUAGAUCUAGCAACCGAUCAUUGUUUCUCCACUCUCUUCUCUCACCGAUCGUUCACUCUCUUCUCUCACGGAUUUUUGUUUUUGAGUGCAGAAUCGAUUCUUGAAGAGCGAUUGAGUUCGAUUCACUGCUCACCUGUUUCAUGGCUUCACUGCUCAAAGGUUGGUUCAUUCUUCUUGCGUUACGAGCAAUGUCAGAGGCUAAAGAUGUUGAGGAUUUGAAGAAUUCCCCUGAAGGUGAAGCUAUCUCUCAUGAUUCUGGGGAUGAUCCGAAAGAAUCAGAUAAAGAUCAAAAUGAUGAAAGCCCCAUGCCCUCACCUCAGCAGGAGGAAGAAGCUGUGAUGAAGAAGUAUGGAGGGAUGUUGCCAAAGAAGCCUCCACUAAUAUCCAAGGAUCAUGAACGUGCUUAUUUUGAUUCUGCUGAUUGGACUUUAGGGAAGACUUCAGCAGUACAAGUUGGUUGAAAUGAAGCUUCUUGCUCAGCAAAGGGAUCUUCAGUGCGCUGAACAAGAAGGAAUGAAAGCCAAUCCCAGUGAAUUGAGCCACUUUGUGAACUUCAUCAAACACAAUAAACUCCAGACAAAGAACUUCAUCAUUGGGUCCAAUCAGUUGGCUAGCUGAAAUCAAUGCUACUGGAACCUUGCAUGUGAAUACGAUUUAUGGUGUAGGUUGGAGAAAGGCUCGAAUGAGAUCGAGGUAGCUUGGCUCUCAUGCUCUCAGUCUCAGCAUUGAAUUUUUGUUGAUGUUAAUUGUAGAGUUAAUUAGGUAGGAACUGGAAUUGUUGAUGUUGAGCAAGACCAGCAAGGGGAAUAUAUAGUGAAACCCUCAACCCCGUCGUCGCCAUAUGGAUGUGAGGUUUGGGUGCCAAAACCUUAACCCCCUAUAAUAUUAUGAUCGAUGAUGAUGGAAAUAAUUAAUUAGUCAUAGAUGGAUGCUUAAAAUGGCGAUAAUUAAAGAACUGGAACAUAUUUUAAAAGAGAAACAAGAAGUUAGGUAACUCAUGUUAAUUGUAAAAUGGAUUAGUUGAGCAUGUGAAUUGAAGGCUUAAGUUAAGUGAUGUUAAUUAUGUUAUGAGCCUGCUCAAUUAAGUGAGCAGCUGGAAUCUAAUUAAAAUAUACUAAGUAUAAGAAGGGUCACUUAAAGACAUUCAUGAUGGUUUAAUAUUCAAGAAUGGUGAUGAAAUAUAUAUUUUGAUGUUCAGUGUUGUUGAUCAAUA